AUCUACAGCCAUACCACCCUGAACGUGCCUGAUAUCAUCUGAUCUCAGAAGCUAAGCAGGGUGGGGCCUGGUUAGUACUUGGAUGGAAGAAAAAUAAGUUUAUUGUAUGAUA
rnacentral:rRNA from 1 species